rfam:Eutrema salsugineum unplaced genomic scaffold scaffold_2, whole genome shotgun sequence.
ACGACCUUACUUGAACAUAAUCUUGUCUAUAGGUUCGUACCUCUGUAUCCUUGAUUUCUAAGGAGACAGUCCCUUAAACCCUGGUGGAUGAACUAAGGAUACAGUCCCUUAAACCCUGGUGGAUGAACUAUGACCAUACGAUUAGAGCGUGAUUAACGGCCAAGAUCAUCUUUCAGAUGCAUCCGGUGCUGUAGAGGAUUGUUACUCGGCUCGGUUUAACCCUAGCCGGAGUGGUCGCACAGCGGUCUGACAGGUU